rnacentral:rRNA from 1 species
UUGAGCUUGAUCCCUGGCUCAGGACGAACGCUGGCUGCGUGCCUUAAUACAUGCAAGUCGAGCGGAGUUGAUGAGAUGCUUGCAUCUAUGAUAAUUAGCGGCGGACGGGUGAGUAACACGUGGGUAACCUGCCUUUAAGACUGGGAUAACAUUCGGAAACGGAUGCUAAUACCGGAUAGGCGAUUUGGUCGCAUGAUCGAAUCGAGAAAGAUGGAGCAAUCUAUCACUUAGAGAUGGACCCGCGGCGCAUUAGCUAGUUGGUGAGGUAACGGCUCACCAAGGCGACGAUGCGUAGCCGACCUGAGAGGGUGAUCGGCCACACUGGGACUGAGACACGGCCCAGACUCCUACGGGAGGCAGCAGUAGGGAAUCUUCCGCAAUGGACGAAAGUCUGACGGAGCAACGCCGCGUGAGUGAUGAAGGUUUUCGGAUCGUAAAGCUCUGUUGCCAGGGAAGAACGCUUGGGAUAGUAACUGCUCCCAAGGUGACGGUACCUGAGAAGAAAGCCCCGGCUAAC